AGAUAGAAAAUGAUUAUUUCAGUUUUUUUAAAACAAAAAUAAGAUAUGUCUCUCCACCUUCAAACCGUAAAUCAAACUCUUCCUAUGUCCAUCUCCAAAUCCGUUUCUCACAUCCCAAAUUCUUAGUUGUUCUUCUCUUUUAGCUCUUCCGUUCUCACUUCUUUCACUCACCCUAGCUCUCAACCAUUAUUGGAUUUUACGUAUCUCCAGAUCUAGAAGGGAAACUGGUUUCCGUGGGAGAAGACGACAUAUAAGAAGAAGAAGCUGAGAGCUGAAGCGGAGGAAGGUGGCAUAGAAGACGAAGAAGCUAAGCGGUGGAUUUAUCGACGAAGUUAGAAGUUGGGAUCUCAAAAUCGGGAAAGAUCUGCUUCGAUUCAAGUCGUGUGCUUCUCCGGCGCACAGCCGAAAACUUGGGUCGAGUAAAGAAUCGAUUUUUCUAUCAAGCAACAAUGGGUCAAGUUCUCUUUUGCUCUCACACCUAUCCUCUCCGACGUUCUUGAAGCUGAUGUUUUCAGUUGAUAGUGAUUGAAUGAUGAGCCUGCUCUUGCUUAACUCAUCUUGGAAACUCAAGAAUUCUCCAAUUGGUAGGUCUUGAUUUUGAUGAUGUUGGUUUCUCUUGUCCGAAAGCUCCGAGUAUGACCUAUAACACCACUUUUUCAACAUCUGAACUUCCCACACCAAAGUCGUGGAAUGUUGAUAUUCAAGUUGAUACAAUCAAUCUCUGCUUAUAAGGGAGGAUAAGAAGAAGAAGAAUGAUGAAGGAGAAGUGAAGGAAGGAGUAGCGCAUCAAUAGCUUUGUUGUCACGCGGGUAUAUCUCUGGUCAUUUCUUUCAAAUGUCUAGCUCCAUCUGUUUUGGUCUCCAUGGAGAUCAAGUGUCAGCUAUUUUGGUUGAGUCUUGUAUGACUGGUUAUGCCGGAGUAACUACAAGCUCCAUGGUUAUUGGGGUAGUAGGUGGCUUAAUGAACUCAAGGCUCAACUCGGCUCUCCUCAGUGUCACCAAAGUCAGUGAAGUUGGAGGUUGAAGCUGAUUACGUGAUGAGCUUUAGGACAUGCUCGGAAUGAGUUUUAUGUUGGUGCUUACAAGGACGAUUCAACAUGAAUUCAGCGGUUUGAUCACUAGAGUUCGAUAAGUAAGUAUAGCAAGGAAUAGCACCAGCCAAGCACCAAGCUUGAGUCUUUACCGAAGACUUCUAGAAAUGGGGUACAAACUUGAUGUAGAAGAUAUCUUCCCAAAUUUCGGGUCAUACUUUCUUAAUUUUCAGCAAGAACAAGUCUUCAACAAUAAAGCGCCAGUCAGAGUUUCACAGGGAGAAAGAACCAGAACGGUUGUGUACUGUUGGAAAGAAAAUGGUUGUGGAAUUGUGCGGGGGAGAAGAGGUAGAGAUCAGCUGGUAACUUAUUAAGCAAGAAGAGGAGCAUUGAGAAGAUGAUUGCUCAGAAAUACGGGAAAGAUUUUUGUGAGACUUUCAAGAAGGAAAUCCCCAAAAACAAAUAUGUAGCUACUGUUGGAAAAGCUGCUGGAGAUAAAUGAUACGCUUGUCUUGUUCAUGAGCUUUGAAUACACUCACAAGCUCCAUUUUUGGAUUUCUAGAUAUGUUAUGAAUUCAUUGAACCUGUAAUUCAAACAUGUCUUGUCCGAGCAUUAUACCAAUUGGAUUGUAUGUUCUUUUGAUUGAUGUGCAGCAAAAAGAUGAGAAGCUAGAAGGAAACGCAGCUUUGAACAAAUUAUGUCGAUGCUUUUGCUAUGUGGUUUUGUGGUGGGUUAUAUUGUCUUAGGACUCCAUUUUUUGUUUUGGCUGACUUGUGUUUAGCUUAUAAUCUCCUGGUCUCACACCCAACUAUGCCUCUAGAGCUGCAACCACACCAGUAUUGUCUGCAAGAGUCGGUUCAGUGUAGUUGCCUGCAAGAACUGCAACCAUACCAGCAUUGUCUGCAGGAGCUGCAAUCAUACCAGCAUUGUCUACAAGAGCUGUAACCAGACCAACUUUUGUAUAGGCUAAGUUGAAGUCAAGACACCAAAUCUUUGUUUUGAAUGUGUUUGAUCGACCAAGUAUGUAAAGGAUCUGGGAUGCUAUAGUUCAAUUAAUUC